AAUCUACCUUUUACAGUGGGAUAGCCCAGAGAAAUUUGGAUUAAUACCACAUAGUAUACAUGAAUGGCAUCAUUUAUAUAUUAAAGUUACAACGGUAAAAGAUGAGCAUGCGUCCCAUUAGCUAGUUGGUGUGGUAACGGCACACCAAGGCGACGAUGGGUAGGGGUCCUGAGAGGGAGAUCCCCCACACUGGUACUGAGACACGGACCAGACUCCUACGGGAGGCAGCAGUGAGGAAUAUUGGACAAUGGGCGCAAGCCUGAUCCAGCCAUGCCGCGUGCAG
rnacentral:rRNA from 1 species